AAACAACCUCACUGUGUAAGCUUAAAACGAAUUGUUGUGAUAUUAUGUAAACUGUGCACAGGUCUACGUGUGACUGGGAACGUAGACUGAACUGGAGUCUUCAGUGAUGUACACUGCAUGAUGAAAUACCUGGCAGGAAUUCACCAUGGUUCAAUGUAUUAUUUGUACAUAACCCAGAUGUUGUUCACAAGCGUCCUGGUGAAAAAUAUAUGCAGUGCAAAAGACAUAAUGUGAAUCCCAGAGGCAUAUAGGUGAGGUCAACGUUGGGUCAUGCCGGGAAUCACUGCAGUCUCGCAGUGAGGAAGCUCAAGAAGAAUUCAAUGACAAAUUUAAAUUGUGAACAAGAUUAUGUUUUUUCGAUGCUGGUGCUUUCAUCAUGUCUUGGACAGGAAAUGCUCUGAACUUCAUCUCUCAUCCAAGUUUUCCAAAAUAAGACGGGAAAAGUGUGGAACACAAAAGUUUUAUUAUUAUUAUUUUUUUCUGUACACUUGUUAAGUAAGAUCGGAAAGGGUCCCAACCCCCUACAGCUUACACAAACGAGAUCAAGAGAAUAGCAGAAUCGCUUCAAGUCAUGUUAGUUUUAAUAAAAUAGUAUGGAGUAAUAUUUUUGUACAUUUUACGUGUGAAAUUCCACCAGUUCAGCAGGAAAUAUGAAAAGGGUAACCUUAUGAAAGAAACAUAUAUAUAUAUAUAUAUAUAUAUAU